UGAGGGCAUUGUAGUUGAUUAAACAAAAUCAAGUUUCUUUUUCUUUUUACUUUGUUGCAGUGCUGGAACGUACCUUUUAAUUUCUCAUUGAAUGAUUUAGCUUUUGCAUUGGUAUGUUGCAUCACGUCUUUUAGGGUGUCAAUAGGAGAAUUUAUUUUUAUUUGGAAGCAAGAGUUGCUGNCACCAUUUUGCUUUUAUUUUAUGAUUAAUUGAUGCCACUNCUGCAACGUAUAUCCUUUUGCAUUGAAUGAAUGAAAAGUGGAUUAAUUGAAAGCCUAUGGUGAUGGGACGGUGGCAGCUAGAGAAUUAACAUUGGCAUUGUUUCUUUGCUUUUCUUUGCAUUAUUCCUUUGUAAUAGAAGUAGUUAGCUUGAUUAGAUGGAAGUAGGUGAUUAGGUGGAGCAUGGGCCCACGGUGGUAUCAAUGGAGAGAGUCUUUGUUUGGAGAUUCAUAUGUUCAAUUGGUAUAAUGAAAGGGCUGCAAUGCUUUUGUUUUUUUUUAUUUUACUUUGCUUUUUAUGUGUUGAUUUCAUUUUAUGUGAUUGAAAGAAACGUUGCAUUUAUUUUGGAGCAGGAGGUAUCAUGGGUCUUGAUUUAAGCAUAUUUUUUUUUCCUUAGAAAAAUUUCUUUAGCAAAAAGUGUGGUGAUGAUUCAUAGUUUUUGGAGAAAGGAUGAAUCGGGUACUUUAAUUUGGAGAUGCACAUGCUUACAUUCCAUUUCUUUUUAUAUAUUAUUUUAAUGCUUAAUCCAAGACUUUUUGCUUACAAUUCUCAUAUUGAAUACGUUCAAUGCUUGCUAACUUUUUAUUAUUUUGCUUAUUCAUCAUUUGCUUAUUUCAAUGUUCUUCAUCAUGGUAGUUAAUUCUCAUUCCUUUAAAUUCGUUCAGCAUUUUACUUUUAAUAUUCCAUUUCCAAGUUGCAUUUUGCAUUUUUUUACUAGCUGACUAUUGAUCUUUUUAUUUACUUGUUGUAUUUUAAUUAGUUCCCUCACCUUGCCUUAGGAUUGCUUAAUUUAUUGUUUUCGUUCACUUUAAUUAUUUCAGUUUUGUUAUAUUUAAUUUUCAUGCAUUUAAUUUAGUUUAAUUAUCGUCUCAACACCUUCAAAACCCCCACUUUGUGUUAGACCUAAGUCUUGAACCGCAGUUGGUCCUUGUGAGACGACCUAGGAGUCACUUCCUAGCUAUAUUGCAUUUCUAAUAUGCAAUCAAAUUUGAUUGGGCGGCGACACCCAUCAAAUUUUGGCGCCGUUGCCGG
rnacentral:lncRNA from 1 species